rnacentral:rRNA from 2 species
UGUGGUGUCCAUACCGGAGGGGUCACACCUUUUCCCAUUCCGAACAGAGCCGUUAAGCCCUCCAGGGUCGAUGGUACUUGGGUAACUCCCAGGAAGAGUAGAUCGACGCCACAA